GGGAGAUAGAAUGUCAUCGGAAUGCCCAUAGACAUCUAAAGCAGUGCAGUGAUUUGGAGGAAAUUAAUGUUUCUGAAAUUGUUGGAUCAUAAAGUUCAAGGGGCAAAAUAUUAGAACUUGAAGCUGGAACAAUAAGCAAGGGUCAAAUGACAGCGAUCCAGUUAGACCAUGUUGAAGACCUCAGAUUGUAUCCUUUCAGUGAUGGGAACAUCGAAACAUUUCAUCUCUCUGUUGCCCUUUCUUUGCAAAUGGGACAGACUCAGGGCAUUCAGAAUAGAAUGUUCCGCUGAGUUGUUGUGAAAACUACAAUGUAAGGAGAAGCAUGAAAAAUACUGCAUAUUCCAUGAAACAAAGAAGCCAAGCUUGAAAUCAGAAUCUCCAACAAACCCCCAAUCAAUUGUGGCAUCCUUAGCUUGGCCGUUGAACAGCUAAGGAGAGGGAAUCACUCCAAGGGUAUUUUUUUUUUCUUGAGAUUUUGAAAGAGUAGAGAUGGACAUCAGAAAUAUUUGACCCAGUCCUUUUUCAAAUUGCUUUGCUGUGCUGAAACUUUUGUGUGGAUGAAAUUCACCUGAGAUGCUUGUUUAACUGCACCUUCCUGAGCCUACCUCUACACAGGCUGAUUUAGCAGAUUUUGGAGUGGGAUCCAGAGUUCUGCUUUUUAAAGAAGAACCUCAAGAGGCCAGGAGCGGUGGCUCACGCCUGUAAUCCCAACACUUUGGGAGGCCGAGGCGGGCGGAUCACGAGG
rnacentral:lncRNA from 1 species